rnacentral:misc_RNA from 1 species
GCCAUAUUACGCUGAAUGAUGAGGCCAUCAAAACUGUCUCGAACCUUACGGUAACUGUCCCUGAUGCUUCGAGGUACCCCUUGCCAAAUCAGCUUCCUUCCGUUGCCUCCUACUUCAAGACUGUAGCUAAAGUUCUUUGCUGUUUCAUCAUCACCCAUGAACCGUAAAAAUGCAAUAUAAACUGGUGCCAUUCCAAGUUGAAAUGCUUCGAAGUGUAAACAGAAGUACUGACCAAAGCAACUGAAAACUGUGAGCAUCCAUGUAGCAUUUUCCACUUCAUGGGGUUUUGACUUCACAUAGCGAUGGUUGAAAGUACUGCCCAUGUGCAUGUCAACUUUGUGAUCAUCUU